CUUAAAUGCAUUAAGUUAACACCACACACCUUGUGUCUCAGCGUGGAGUCCAUGCUUGGAGAUGUUUGGGUGGCCCAAGAAGGACCUGCACAAUAUCAGGUAGGUGGUUUUAAUAUUAUGGCUGAUUGGUGUGUAUCUGCGCAAAUGUUGCGCAUUUGUAACGCGCAUGAAGGCAUCCUUUGAAUGUAUGGCGGCGUCGUUUGUGUGGAUUAUGCGUCAACAUUUCUGUCCUGGUUAUGGAAACGUUUAUGAUUCAUGCGAUUAUAUGUAGACAAUAAACUAGUGUUUAAAAAAACAAAACAAAUGAGAGAGAUGUUUUUUUAAAGAAGUAGCGCUAGAAUUGAGUGCUGUUACUAUACGGAGCUAAAUAGCUAGCUUAGCUUCCUGCAUUAAGGCCUAAUUGUGAGCUUGGCACGUUUUAGGAAGCAACCUUGGGGAUAGAUAUGAGUGUUUAGUUACAUGUUGUAUCAUUUUGAAUUUAGUCGGUUAAUCUGCUUUGAAAUUAUAUAGUGAGGUUCUGCAAACAUGUUAAAUGACCUGAGCAUUGGAUGAUGAUGAUGAUGAUGACCUGCUAAUUUAGACAUUGAUCUCUGAAGGCUUUAUUCUGAAGGUCCACCUUCCUCUGAGCUGAAGCUUUAUCUCCUAGAACAGCAGCAAACAUGACUGGAAUCCAAUCCAGAGAUGAGUCGGUUGGAGACAGUUCUGAUGAUGAACCUCUGAGUAAAAUGGUGAAACCUGGCAAGAAGUGUCCAGAAGAUGCACCCUCGGAUAUCAUGGAAGAUGCUUCACCAAAGAAAACCCUUAAAGAGCCCACCUCUGCUGCGGAUGAGUGCCCUGGACACAGCUCUGAUGACGAGCCUCUGAGCAAACUGACUGAAUCAAAGGGGGCGAAGCGCUCAAGUAAACAAAAAGAGACUGCUGCGGGGAAGCAGUCAGAAUCUGAAGACGAUCAGCCGCUGACGAUGAUUAUCAAGAAGAAGAAGCAGAAGGCUGACACAGAAGAGCCUGAAGAUGCCAAGAAGACCAGAAGCCCAAAAAAGCGUAAAGCUGUGACGAAGGCCUCAAAGCUCAGAGAUUCAUCACCCUCGCCAUCGCCGUCGCCAGUGAAGGCCACACAGAGAAGAGGACAAAAAGGUAAGGACGAGUCGAAAAAGAAAGUACCGGCACAUUCACCAGCUGUGAACACGACGCCUAAAAGGAGAGGUCGCGCCAAGAAAGAAGGAAAAGCCCCGUGUAGCGACAGCUCGGAUGACGAGCCCUUGAGCGAGCUGCCGUGGAAGAGGAGCGAGCCAGAGAUGAAGCAGGCGGUGGUGCUGGUGGAGAGGAUGUCUGAAAGAGACGUUAAGGAUGCAGUGGCACGCGGACGUGCACACAGCCAAGAGCAGAAAAGUACAGCCAGAGCAGAGUGUGCAGCGGAGGGCUCAGACGAGGAGCCUCUGAGUCAUAAGAUGAAGAGACUGAAAGAGCAGAGCAAGACUGCGAGAGGCAGGAGACCAGCGGCAGAUGCCAGUUCAGACGACGAGCCCUUGGUGAGGAAAGUGAAAGCAGCGAAGGUGAAGGAUAAGUUUAGAAAGAGAGCUAACGGAGAAGAGGACACAGUCAAACAAGACAGAGAGCUGAGCGAGGAGGACGAGCGUCCACACUGAGAGCCUGGCAGUAGUCACACACAACACAACACGUCUCGCACACGAAUUUAACAGAAGAAACGAGAAGAGGACUCGCUUGUUUCACCGUUCUGUGGAUCAGUAGUUCUGUGCUCAUUCCUUUAUUUAUGUAUAGGAAUAACGUCGCAUUUUCUGAACUCCUAAACCCCGAAACGUGAAUCCCUUUCACUCCAUAACACAUUGAAAAGCUUGAAGUAGUUUCUUUUAUAUUGUUUUAGCAUUUUAAAUUUUGUAUGGUCUUAACCAGGCUUCGGCCUUUUACAUCGUGUACGCUGAUGGUUUUUGAUUUGUAUUUUAAAACAAACAAAAAAAAGUCACUAAAUGUUAUUUACAUAGUUUCUAGGAAGGAAAGUGAAAUGAAAUGUGUUUUUUGAUAAUAUUGACGUGUACACAAGUAUAAACGCAGUGGUGUGAGAGAUAAAUGUGGAGAACGCUGUACAGUAGUUUUCUUUUUGUUUUUUGAUGACCGUUGUUUAGUUUCUUGUGAUUUAAUGUGAUUUUACCAGAUCAGAUUGUUGGAAUUCCCAACAAAUGAAAUAUUCCCGCUGUCAAUACAAUCUAAAGGCUUAAAAAAAUAAAUUACAUCAGUGACUUUGUAAUGAAAAUUGUAGGAACUCUGUGGUUAUUGCCUCUCACCGCUUUUUUCUUUACCGAACCAUACCAUUUUGUCACUCGGCUCUAAUAUAAAUGUCAAGCUUUAGCAAAAAGCUAUAUACAGUCCCCUUCGACACUAUUGGAAAGAAAAGGAAAAUUCAUUUGUUUUUGCUGUAGACUUAAGACAUUUGGGUUUGAGGUCAAAAGAUGAAUAUGAGAAGAGAGUUUUGAAUUUUAGCUUUUAUUUCCUGAUAUUUAUAUGUAAAUGUCUUCAACAAUAUAGAACACAGCACACUUUAUAUCAGAUUACAAAAUUUUGUAGGUGAGCAAAAAAUACUGGAACAUGUGACUGACAGGUGUUUCCUUGUUACCCAGGUGUGUCCUGUUAGAUUGAUUGAUUGCUUGCUUAAACAAUAAAUAGCUCUGAGCAUCUACUCUUGGUUUUAGCUUUCAGUUUCUCCUGUGAAGACUGCAUUUGUUGUUAAAAAGGAUAAACUAACAUGAAGAUCACAGAGCUGUCUAUGGGAGAAAAAUCCAUCAGAGUCACUGCACAAACACUGGGCAUAGCCAAUAGAACAACUUGGAAUGUCCUGAAAAAGAAAGAAACCACUGUUGUACUGAGCAACAGACACCACUGAAUGGGUCGGACAAGGAAAAGAACAACAGCUGAUGACAAACAUUGUAAGAACUGUGAAGAAAAACCCAAAAACAACAGUUAGUGACCUCACCAACAACCUCCACAGGGCUGGGGUAAAGGUAUUUCAAUCCACCAUUUGAAGAAAACUUCAAGUGCAGAAAUAUAGAGGCCAUACCACAAGAUGUAAACCACUCAUCAGCAGUAAGAAUCAGAAAGCCAGGUUGGAAUUCACAAAGAAAUACAGACAUGAGCCACAAAAGUUCUGGAACCAAGAUUAAGCUCUUCCAAAGUGAUUGAAAGUUCAAAGUGUGGAGAAAGAAAGGAUCUGCUCAUAAUUCAAAACAUACGAGCUCAUCUGUGAAACAUGGUGGAGGAACUGUUAUGGAUUGGGUUUGCAUGUCUGCUUCUGGAACAGUCUCACUAAUUUUUAUUGAUGAUGUCACUUGUGAUGGUAGCAGAAGAAUGAAUUCAGAAGUUUACAGGAACAUUUGUCUGCCAAUUUACAGAGAAAUGAAUGAAGAUUAAUAAGGAGGAAUUUUAUCAUGCAGCAAGACAAUGAUCCAAAACACACUGCCAACUCAACAAAGGACUUCAUCAGUGGGGGGAAAGUGGAAGGAUUUAGAACCUCCUGAAGAGAGAAACCUCACGACAACAAACAACUGAAAGAAGCUGCGGUAAAAGCCUGAAAAAUCAUCACAAAAGAAGAAACCAACUUCAUGACUUAUCUUUUCCUAUACUUUUGCUUGCCUAAAAAUUGGGUGGUCUGAUGCAAAAGGUUAUGUUGUUUAAACACGUCUAGAUGUAAAUACCAGGAAAUAAAAGCUGAAAUCCUAAUCCCUCAUCUCAUAUCCAUCUUUUGAUCUAAAACCCAAAUGUUUUUGGUGUACAGCACAAACAAAUUAAUUUGCCUUGCCGUUCCAGUAGGUACAGAGGGGACUGUACCACCUGAACUGAUUGUUCUUCUGCUUCUGGACCAUUUGCUAUAUCAGAACUUUCCCGGUUCGAUCCUGAGCUCGGGUUACUGUCUUUGUGGAGCUUUGCAUGUUCUCUGGUUUCCUCUGACUGUCCAAAAAUCCAAAAACAUACCCAUCCGUGGAUGGAUUACACAAAAUUGUGCCUAGGUGUGCGUGACAGUGUGUAUGGUUGGUGCGCUGUGAUGCACAGAUGUACCAUCUCAUGUGUAUCCCCACCUCACGCCGGGCUCCGGUUCCAGGAUAGUGGCUACCGAAAAUAAAUGAUCGAAUUAAUUGUUAGUAUUAUAUCACACAUUAUUAAACUGCACAUACACUAGAGGCUAGGUUUGCUGUGUUAGAAAUCUGAAUGGUUUCAUAUCUAAUUAGAUUGUAGCUAGCGGAGCUGCUAAAGCUUUCUCUUCUAAACUGAGUUUUUUUGUUGACUUUUUUAAAAAAUCCCUCCUUCAAGUGGUUAUAUCACUUAACAAUUAUUAAAUACGCAAGAUGCAUCUUUUAUUUAUCGCAAAACAACACAAUAGUUUGUUAAACUAUAUAAUAAUCAUAAUAAACUGCAGAUAUACUGUAGAUAUUUAGGUGUUUUGCCAUACUGGUAGUUUUUAAAGGUAGUGUUAAAGUUGCUGAAUGUAAUGUAAAGUAAUGUAAUGAAAGC
ensembl:lncRNA